AAAUUUUACCGGGACCGACAGCAAUAUGAAGGCCAGGCUGAAGACUUUGCCGGAUUAGCUGAGAGGUGGUGCAUGGCCGUCGUCAGUUCGUACUGUGAAGCAUCCUGUUAAGUCAGGCAACGAGCGAGACCCACGCCCACAGUUGCCAGCGUACUCUCUGGAGUGACGGGUACACUGUGGGGACCGCCGCUGCUAAAGCGGAGGAAGGAAUGGGCAACGGUAGGUCAGUAUGCCCCGAAUAUCCCGGGCUACACGCGAGCUACAAUGGUUGGUACAAUGGGUAUCUACCCCGAAAGGGGACGGGAAUCUCCUAAAACCAAUCUUAGUUCGGAUUGAGGGCUGCAACUCGCCCUCAUGAAGCUGGAAUCCGUAGUAAUCGCGUUUCAACAGAACGCGGUGAAUACGUCCCUGCUCCUUGCACACACCGCCCGUCAAACCACCCGAGUAGGGUCUGAAUGAGAGCGCUUUCUUUGGAGGCGUUCGAAUUUGGGCUUUGCAAGGGGGGUUAAGUCGUAACAAGGUAACCAAGGGCGAAU
rnacentral:rRNA from 1 species